rnacentral:rRNA from 1 species
GACGAACGCUGGCGGCGUGCUUAACACAUGCAAGUCGAACGAAGUGGCGAACGGGUGAGUAACGCGUAAUCAACCUGCCCUUCAGAGGGGGACAACAGUUGGAAACGACUGCUAAUACCGCAUACUGAAGGAGGGGAUUGCGUGUGAUUAGCUAGUUGGAGGGGUAACGGCCCACCAAGGCGAUGAUCAGUAGCCGGGCUGAGAGGAUGGACGGCAACAUUUGGACUUGGACCCGGCCCCAGCUCCUACGGGAGGCAGCAGUGGGGAAUCUUCCGCAAUUGGCGAAAGUCUGACGGGGCAAAGCCGCGUUGUGUAUGACGGCCUUCGGGUUGGAAAGCUCUGUUAAUCGGGACGCGGUACCGGAAUAGAAAGCCACGGCUAACUACGUGCCAGCAGCCGCGGUAAUUC